rnacentral:rRNA from 1 species
AACGAACGCUGGCGGCAUGCCUAACACAUGCAAGUCGAACGAGACCUUCGGGUCUAGUGGCGCACGGGUGCGUAACGCGUGGGAACCUGCCCUUAGGUUCGGAAUAACUCCCCGAAAGGGGUGCUAAUACCGGAUAAUGUCUUCGGACCAAAGAUUUAUCGCCUUUGGAUGGGCCCGCGUUGGAUUAGCUAGUUGGUAGGGUAAAAGCCUACCAAGGCGACGAUCCAUAGCUGGUCUGAGAGGAUGAUCAGCCACACUGGGACUGAGACACAGCCCAGACUCCUACGGGAGGCAGCAGUGGGGAAUAUUGGACAAUGGGCGAAAGCCUGAUCAAGCAAUGCCGCGUGAGUGAUGAAGGCCUUAGGGUUGUAAAGCUCUUUUACCCGGGAUGAUAAUGACAGUACCGGGAGAAUAAGCUCCGGCUAACUCCGUG